rnacentral:tRNA from 1 species
UAAGCGGUAGCAUAAAAAAUGUGCUUCAUUGAAAAUGAAGAAGAUGGUCUUUAUAGAUCCUGCUUUA